rnacentral:rRNA from 1 species
GAUCCUGGCUCAGGAUGAACGCUGGCUACAGGCUAACACAUGCAAGUCGAGGGGCAGCAUUGGAGUAGCAAUACUCAGAUGGCGACCGGCGCACGGGUGAGUAACACGUAUCCAACCUGCCGCUUACUCGGGGAUAGCCUUUCGAAAGAAAGAUUAAUACCCGAUGGUAUAAAGAGUUCGCAUGUUCUCUUUAUUAAAGAAUUUCGGUAAGCGAUGGGGAUGCGUUCCAUUAGAUAGUUGGCGGGGUAACGGCCCACCAAGUCUACGAUGGAUAGGGGUUCUGAGAGGAAGGUCCCCCCACAUUGGAACUGAGACACGGUCCAAACUCCUACGGGAGGCAGCAGUGAGGAAUAUUGGUCAAUGGACGAGAGUCUGAACCAGCCAAGUAGCGUGAAGGAUGACUGCCCUAUGGGUUGUAAACUUCUUCUAUAAGGGAAUAAAGUGAGGGACGUGUCCCUUUUUGUAUGUACCUUAUGAAUAAGGAUCGGCUAACUCCGUGCCAGCAGCUGC